UUUGACCUCAAAUCAGGUAGGACUACCCGCUGAACUUAAGCAUAUCAAUAAGCGGGAGGAAA
rnacentral:rRNA from 1 species